GGCCAAGUUUUUAAGGGCGCACGGUGGAUGCCUUGGCACCAGGAACCGAUGAAGGACGUGAGAGGCCGCGAUAGGCCCCGGGGAGCUGCCAACUGAGCUUUGAUCCGGGGGUGUCCGAAUGGGGAAACCCGGCAGUCGUCAUGGGCUGUCACCCACUGCUGAACACAUAGGCAGUGUGGAGGGAACGAGGGGAAGUGAAACAUCUCAGUACCCUCAGGAAGAGAAAACAACCGUGAUUCCGGGAGUAGUGGCGAGCGAAACCGGAUGAGGCCAAACCGUAUGCGUGUGAUACCCGGCAGGGGUUGCGCAUGCGGGGUUGUGGGAAUGAGCUUUCACAGUCUGCCGGCUGUGAGGCGAGUCAGAAACCGUUGAUGUAGUCGAAGGACAUGCGAAAGGUCCGGCGUAGAGGGUAAGACCCCCGUAGACGAAACAUCAGCGGCUUGCUUGCUCAUCUCCCAAGUAGCACGGGGCCCGAGAAAUCCCGUGUGAAUCUGGCGGGACCACCCGCUAAGCCUAAAUAUUCCCUGGUGACCGAUAGCGGAUAGUACCGUGAGGGAAUGGUGAAAAGUACCGCGGGAGCGGAGUGAAAUAGUACCUGAAACCGUGUGCCUACAAGCCGUGGGAGCGUCGCU
rnacentral:ncRNA from 1 species